UACGAAGGGGGCUAGCGUUGCUCGGAAUUACUGGGCGUAAAGGGCGCGUAGGCGGACAGUUUAGUCAGAGGUGAAAGCCCAGGGCUCAACCCUGGAAUUGCCUUUGAUACUGGCUGUCUUGAGUACGGGAGAGGUGUGUGGAACUCCGAGUGUAGAGGUGAAAUUCGUAGAUAUUCGGAAGAACACCAGUGGCGAAGGCGACACACUGGCCCGUUACUGACGCUGAGGCGCGAAAUCGUGGGGAGCAAACAGG
rnacentral:rRNA from 1 species